rnacentral:sRNA from 1 species
CUGCCAGCAAAUUUUAAACAUUUAAUUAAUUUUUGAUUUUUUAUUUUCAAAUGCUUUGUUUGAAAGAGCGUAGCACACACAAAAUUAAUUAAAGAAAAAAUCACUCCCGAACACUAAAAAUAUAUUUUUUGUUUAUAUUUUCUCUUUAUUUUAUAUGAAAUGUCUACGUCUUCUUGGGUACUUUACAAAUAGAAAAAAAAAAAUAGCCAACACAGAUUGCUAAUGACGGCUAACCCAUAGUGACGUUGUAGACUUGUUUGGCGUGUUUCGAGACAGUUAACAAGCAAUGUGUUUCUUUCGGACUUUGCGUCAGAUGGCCGAUUGCAGUCUGUCUGCUGACCGUUUCCAGUUGCACUAUGAUGAACAAUAGCCGCUCCAGAAUCGCUGUGUCAGGUCAUUGUCUGCUCGUUGUUUAUUCUGCCAAAAGAUAUCAAUCGCCAAAUGUGAAUGAAUGACGAAGGACAACGGUGAUGGUGAUGGCGGCGGCGGCGACGACGACGACUGGGUCUGAUAGGAAAGUGUCAGUUUGGUGUCCAAAAACAGAAACAGCCCAUUCCAAAGAUUUCUGCGACUGCCGCUGCCAACUCUCAUGGCUGUAGUAGUAGUGGUGAUGAUGCCAGUGGUUGUGUGGUGGCUAUGGUGGUUGUGCCAUCUUUAAUGGUGGUGGUAUAUUUUGCCAGUUGCUGUUGGUGGUGAUGGUGAUGAUGAUGGCCAAAGUAACCAACUCAAAAAUGCGAAUCACAAAACAACGCCACACAUAUAAAUGAAGGCAAAGAGCACACGGUCCAAGCAGCAGCUAAGUAGUCGUCAAUCGUAUACCAGUGCCAGAUAUCACAAGCCCGGAGGACAGCAAGCCAAUAUAAAAGCUAUCGAAAAGGAGAAUAUACGCACAGAACCCAAGCCCAAGAUGUACGAGACUGGCAGAGAAGCUUUCCGCCCUGGCAACUCGUUACUGUUUUCAUCUUCCAUAUUGCAGAGUCAGCAAACAAACUCCAAGCAAGUUGUUCUCUAUUUCAAUGCUACUUUUGAGGCAACACAGAUGCGACGGCAUGUACUUUAACGUUGUUACCCUGGCCUUGCUGCGCCUCGCAUUCUUGUGAGAACUUCUAUGGCUGCCAUUGUAAAGCCUGACACACGGGGUUAGAGUUUUCGACAUUGACGGCAUCUACACCACCCCGUUUUAGAGGCCGUUGGCCCGGGUGUGUUUUUAUUUCGUUGGACUAUUAAAACAGGGAAUCCUUCUCAGCUCCUCGUUUGCAGUCACAUAGAAGAAACGACAACAACAAUAGCAGCAGCAGCAGAAACACUCUGCCCGCAAUGGCAGUUAUGCCUUAUGGUGGUGGCUUUGUUCGUUCGCAUGGCUGCCGCCUUUUGUCGUCUACGUUUUGCCAUCACCUUCCAUGUUGAUUUAAUGGCGGCACACGGACCCCGACCCCUGCGUGUUUGGUGUGAAAAAAUGUUGUUUUUUUAAUAAAAAAAAUAUUGAUAUGAAGAACAAAAGGGAAUUAUAAGACUCAAAUAUGAAAAGGGAGAACAAAAUCGAUGAUUAUGAUGAUGAGAAGAAAAAUAUUUUAAGGGGGACAUAAAAACCAUAUCGACUGUGCACUGUGGGUUAAUGAGAUGAGAAUGUAAUGUUAAGGCCAAAACGGAAUGAGCGCAUUGAUUUUUGUUUUUGAGCGUUGCGUUGAAAAAUGCAAAAACGGGGUUUCCAGGAUUCGGCCCGGCCUAACU